CCUACGGGUGGCAGCAGUGGGGGAUAUUGCACAAUGGGGGAAACCCUGAUGCAGCGACGCCGCGUGGGUGAAGAAGCGCCUCGGCGCGUAAAGCCCUGUCAGCAGGGAAGAAAAUGACGGUACCUGAAGAAGAAGCCCCGGCUAAUUACGUGCCAGCAGCCGCGGUAAUACGUAGGGGGCAAGCGUUAUCCGGAGUUACUGGGUGUAAAGGGGGCGCAGACGGCGUUGCAAGCCAGGAGUGAAAGCCCGGGGCCCAACCCCGGGACUGCUCUUGAAACUGCGUGGCGAGAGUGCAGGAGGGGCAGGCGGAAUUCCUGGUGUAGCGGUGAAAUGCGUAGAUAUCAGGAGGAACACCGGUGGCGAAGGCGGCCUGCUGGACUGCAACUGACGUUGAGGCCCGAAAGCGUGGGGAGCAAACAGGAUUAGAUACCCGAGUAGUC
rnacentral:rRNA from 1 species